rnacentral:rRNA from 1 species
CCCUUAGAUGUUCGGGGCCGCACGCGCGCUACACUGAAGGACUCAGCGUGUCUCUCCCCCUAUCCCGAAAGGGAUGGGCAACCCGUUGAACCUCCUUCGUGCUAGGGAUUGGGGUUUGCAAUUAUCCCCCAUGAACGAGGAAUUCCCAGUAAGCGCGAGUCAUCAGCUCGCGUUGAUUACGUCCCUGCCCUUUGUACACACCGCCCGUCGCUCCUACCGAUUGGGUGUGCUGGUGAAAUGUUCGGAUCGGCCGUUUGUCGCGGUUUCCGCGUCAUGUGGCUGAGAAGUUCAUUAAACCCUCCCACCUAGAGGAAGGAGAAGUCGUAACA